GGGGGAGUAGCUCAGUGGGUUAGAGCAGCGGUCUUAUACACCGCUUGUCGGUGGUUCGAGUCCACCCUCCCCUACCA
rnacentral:tRNA from 1 species